GCCCUCGUGGCACAAUAGUUGAGUGCUCAGCUGUUAACUGAAAGAUCGGUGGUUGAAACCCACCCAGUGGCU
rnacentral:tRNA from 1 species